AUCCAUUACCACAACUCUGUCAACUACCACAGCAACAUCAUCCACUGCAAGUAAAACAUCAGCAACACAAACUAAGAAGACAUCAGUGGACAGACAAACACCUACAAACAACAACAAUCCAUCACAACAAGCAGGUUCAUCAUGGCCGUAUGUUGUUGUAUCUUUGGGUUUUGCAGCUUUUUUUUUAACUGUUGUUGUGAUCAUCAAGUGGAAGAAAACUAAAGG